rnacentral:rRNA from 1 species
AACGAACGCUGGCGGCGUGGAUAAGACAUGCAAGUCGAACGCUGAUUGCGGGGUAGCAAUAUUCCGCGGUUGGAGUGGCGUAAGGGUGAGUAACACGUGGGUAAUCUGCCGCGAAGCCUGGAAUAACUCCGAGAAAUCGGAGCUAAUACCGGAUGUGAUCGUACGGGAGCAUUCCCGGACGGUCAAAAUUGGGGACCGCAAGGCCCAACGCUUCGUGAUGAGCCUGCGGCCUAUCAGCUAGUUGGCGGGGUAAAAGCCCACCAAGGCGAAGACGGGUAGCUGGUCUGAGAGGACGACCAGCCACACUGGAACUGAGACACGGUCCAGACACCUACGGGUGGCAGCAGUCGAGAAUUUUUUACAAUGGGCGCAAGCCUGAUGGAGCGACGCCGCGUGGGGGAUGAAUGGCUUCGGCCCGUAAACCCCUGUCAUUCGCGUGCAAUGCCUUUCCGCAAAUAGCGGGAAGGUUGAUCGUAGCGAAAGAGGAAGGGACGGCUAACUCUGUGCCAGCAGCCGCGGUAAUACAGAGGUCCCGAGCGUUGUUCG